rnacentral:misc_RNA from 1 species
CCACGAGAGUUUGUAACACCCGAAGUCGGUGGGGUAACCUUUUUGGAGCCAGCCGCCUAAGGUGGGACAGAUGAUUGGGGUGAAGUCGUAACAAGGUAGCCGUAUCGGAAGGUGCGGCUGGAUCACCUCCUUUCUAUGGAGAAUUGAUGAACGCUGUUCAUCAAUAUAAGUUUCCGUGUUUCGUUUUGUUCAGUUUUGAGAGAACUAUCUCUCAUAUAUAAAUGUAUGUUCUUUGAAAACUAGAUAACAGUGUAGCUCAUAUUUUUUAAUUUUUAGUUUGGUUAAGUUAGAAAGGGCGCACGGUGGAUGCCUUGACACUAGGA